CUGGCUCAGGAUGAACGCUAGCGACAGGCUUAACACAUGCAAGUCGAGGGGCAGCAUAAAAGUAGCAAUACUUGGUGGCGACCGGCGCACGGGUGAGUAACGCGUAUGCAGCCUACCUAUCAGAGGGGAAUAACCCGGCGAAAGUCGGACUAAUACCGCAUAAAACAGGGGCACCGCAUGGUGAUAUUUGUUAAAGAAAUUCGCUGAUAGAUGGGCAUGCGUUCCAUUAGGUAGUUGGUGAGGUAACGGCUCACCAAGCCGACGAUGGAUAGGGAACUGAGAGGUUGGUCCCCCACACUGGUACUGAGACACGGACCAGACUCCUACGGGAGGCAGCAGUGAGGAAUAUUGGUCAAUGGGCGGGAGCCUGAACCAGCCAAGUCGCCGUGAAGGAAGAAGGAUCUAUGGUUCGUAAACUUCUUUUGCAGGGGAAUAAAGUGCAGGACGUGUCCUGUUUUGUAUGUACCCUGAGAAUAAGGAUCGGCUAACUCCGUGCCAGCCGCCGC
rnacentral:rRNA from 1 species